CGGCGAGUGAAGCGGCAACAGCUCAAAUUUGAAAUCUGGCCCUCGGGUCCGAGUUGUAAUUUGUAGAGGAUGCUUUUGGCGCGGUGCCUUCCGAGUUCCCUGGAACGGGACGCCUUAGAGGGUGAGAGCCCCGUACGGUUGGACGCUAAGCCUCUGUAAAGCUCCUUCAACGAGUCGAGUAGUUUGGGAAUGCUGCUCUAAAUGGGAGGUAAAUUUCUUCUAAAGCUAAAUACCGGCCAGAGACCGAUAGCGCACAAGUAGAGUGAUCGAAAGAUGAAAAGCACUUUGAAAAGAGGGUUAAAUAGCACGUGAAAUUGUUGAAAGGGAAGCGUUUGCGACCAGACCUUUUCCUAGCGGAUCAUCCGGUGUUCUCACCGGUGCACUUCGCUAGGUUUAGGCCAGCAUCGGUUUCCGUAGGGGGAUAAAAGCCUGGGGAAUGUGGCUCCUUCGGGAGUGUUAUAGCCCCUCGCAUAAUACCCUUAUGGGGACCGAGGACCGCGCUUUUGCAAGGAUGCUGGCAUAAUGGUCGCCAACGAC
rnacentral:rRNA from 1 species